AACCAUCUUCCUACUUGACCAAUGAUAAUGAUUAUAAGUAUGGAAUUUUGGUAAACAAUAUGGAAACCCAUAUCUUGUCCUUUCUGUCACCCAUUUCACGCCACCACACCAUUUCCUUCUCAUUAUUUUAUUUAGUAUGGUUUCCAUGCACUAAAUAUCCCAAUCCCAAGAAAGUACAUAAAAGACAUUUACCUUUUCUUACAAAUAAACGAAACCCUCAUGAAGAUAAGUAAACAACCUCAAAAUCUUGCAAACUCACCACACCUUUCUUUCUCUAGAACUCCGGCCUGUGAUGGCGGAGACACGACGGUGGCGGAGGUUUUUCACGGCGGAAAUGGGGUGUACCCCCCCCCCCCCACCUAAGUCGAACCUCCUGAACCCAUUUCCGACGUCAGUUAGCCGAUUAGAGCAACGGAAGUGAUGGUUUUGACUACGGCAGCCUUGGUUCGAGUUUCACUCCGGUAGUGGCGGCACGUGGUGUUCUGAUGAGGGCAGUGGAGAGGGCUAUGGUGGUGUCAGUGGUGGUUGGUGAUGUGACGGAGGUUGGUGCGGGGAGUUAACGACAGCAAACAAGCCGCAACUGGCGGCGCUGGGGGCCGGCCGGCGGCGGCAGUGAUGGUGGUCACGAUGGUUCAGGUUUUGGUUCGGUGCAACUCAGAUCUCGGUUCAGUCACGGUUCGAGUUGGCUCCGGUCAUAUGUCAGUUUAGUUUCGGGUCUCGGUUUGGGUUUUGGUCAAUACGGUUCGACUCGGUUCAACUCGAUUCAACCCGGUUCAACCCGGUCAACUGCAGUCAACACAAGUCAAACGUGGUCAACUGGUCAACACGGGUCAACCCGGUCAGAUUUGAGGUCCGGUUAGGUGUUCGGGUCAGUUAUGGUCAAAGCGGUCAACGGGUCAGUUUCGAUGCUCGGGUCAAACCCGGUCAACUCAGUCAGCCUGGGUCAACUUAGUCAAACCUGGUCAACACGGUCAAACGCAGUCAACGCAAGACCCGGAAUGCUUUAGUUGCACGCUAGCGAGUUCACAUUCGUGGGAUGACACUACGGAAUCACAUUUAGCUAGCUAUGCACAGGAAUAUACAGGUUGCAUUUUCAAAACUAUGGAACGGUUGGAAUAGGAGAACCCAUGGGAAUUCGAGUACUUA